UACGAAGGGGGCUAGCGUUGCUCGGAAUUACUGGGCGUAAAGCGCACGUAGGCGGCUUUUUAAGUCAGGGGUGAAAUCCUGGAGCUCAACUCCAGAACUGCCUUUGAUACUGGGAAGCUUGAGUCCGGAAGAGGUGAGUGGAACUCCGAGUGUAGAGGUGAAAUUCGUAGAUAUUCGGAAGAACACCAGUGGCGAAGGCGGCUCACUGGUCCGGUACUGACGCUGAGGUGCGAAAGCGUGGGGAGCAAACAGG
rnacentral:rRNA from 1 species